rnacentral:misc_RNA from 1 species
UGCAGCUCCUCUGUCUCUGCGCGACAGUCAAGCCUAGAAUUUUGGUUGCUGCAUGGUUGGUUGGUCCUUCGGUCGCUUUCUCUUUGGUUCCGCGUCGUGGCGCGUGUUUAGCUGUUUUCCAAAAUAGGCCUAGCCUAGCAUCUAAUAACAAUGUGCUUUUAUUGUAUAAGGAAGCUGUAAUAUGAAUUAUGAUAUUGUGAAUAAUUCGUGGAAUGUCUUGGAACAAUUUUGUUCCAGUAAAGAAGAACGCAAGGUUGAAACAAAAUCAUUGUCACAAUCAGUGCUGAUUCUUUAUCAAAAUGGAUUUUCUCUACUUGUUGAAGACUGGCUCUUGGAGAAACUACGACAAGAUCUUCAAAACAUAUUUUCUCCAGGUUUCUGGAAAUAUUUUGAUAAUGAUAUGAAAGAUAUUUCCUGCACUAAUGAUGCAUUUGUGCUUGCAGUUAACAAUCUGCAUCAGUCUUUACAACCUUAUGUUCAACUGAUGCAAACAGUGGAUUGCAUCUCUGAGGGAUUUAACAGUGAUGCUGAGAAACAGAGGAAACUAUACAGUAUCACAGAACGCUUCAUUGUCUUGAUCAAAGCUACUCAAUUCUAUCACAUGCCUCAAAGUUUUAGAAGCGGUGUUGUUUGGCAGUUCUACUCUAAAGCAUUCAAGGCAUUUGAGAAUUCUGAUCAUGAUGAAAUGGCGGAAGACAAUGAUGAUGGAAAAGAUGUGCAUUGUAAUGGUUCUACCAACUCCAAUGAUUGCAGUUGCUGUCAGCAGAUUCUAAAAUACUUCGACCAACUCAAUUCUCAGCUGUUUUCACUGGGAUUGCUAGAGCAUGUGUGUGGAGAGGCUAUUACCAGCAUAAUUCACACAAAGAUACAACAGCAUGUUAAACAAUGUUGCCAAGGCGAGUUUGAAGUUAGUUUCCUGGAUAAGCUGGAAGAGUGGUUGAAUGAGAAAGUUGUUGCAUGGCUGACAAACAUCUGCCAAAGUGAUUCGACAAGUUCAUCAAGUGCUGGAACAACUGUCACCAAAUGGACAGACCGCUUACAGUACUUUCUCUACCAAACAUUUGCAAAAUUACGUAUUCAAGAACUUUUUAACAUCAUUGUUGAGUUUCCGGACUCCAUGAAGGCAUUAGAAGACUUAAAAAUGUGUCUCAAGAAGACAGAUUUACGAGCACAUUUAAUUCGUUCUCUGAGGAGUGAUUUUGAAACAAGACUCUUGCAUCCUGGAGUAAACACAGCUGACAUUUUGACCCAAUACAUUUCUUCAAUACGUUCUUUGAAAGUUUUGGACCAAUCAGGUGUUAUGUUAGAAAUUGUAUGUGAACCUGUUAGAAAAUACUUAAGGAGCCGGGAAGACACUGUACGAUGCAUUGUCUCUAGUUUAACUGAUGAUAGUAGUAGUGAUCUAGCUGAAGAACUGAUUAAAGCAGAACCACUUCAAAUGGACGAGAGUUACAUGAGUGAAGAGGAAGAGGAAGACCCAAGCAACUGGCAACCAGAUCCUAUUGAUGCAGAUCCAGGCAAUACUUCUAAAAGUCGAAGAUCCUCAGACAUCAUUAGUACGUUGGUCAAUAUAUAUGGAAGUAGGGAGUUGUUUGUUAGUGAAUACCGCACAUUGUUAGCUGAUCGCAUACUUACUUCCUUCAACUUUGAUACCGCUAGAGAGUUACGUUACCUUGAAUUGCUCAAGUUAAGAUUUGGAGAGUCUCAGCUUCAUUUCUGUGAAGUAAUGCUGAAAGAUGUGGCAGACUCUAAGAGAAUUAAUGCUAAUAUUAAAGAAAAACAACUGGAGAUGGAAGAAAAUGACAAAAAUAUUGAGAAAAGAAAAGAAGAGGAGGAGCUUGAUUACAACUCCCUCAUUUUGUCUGCGCAAUUUUGGCCCAACCUCAAAGAGGAGAAAUUGGAGUUGCCAGAAGCCAUUAAAAAUGCUAUGGAUGCCUACCGAACCAGCUAUGAGACUCUCAAAGGCUCCCGUACUCUCAACUGGAAAACGAACAUUGGUUUGGUCAAUUUAGAUAUUGAAUUGAAGAAUAGAAAACUGUCAUUCUCAGUGUCUCCUAUUCAUGCUACUAUCAUCAUUCAUUUUCAAGAGAGAGCCAAAUGGACCAUUGAAGAAUUAAGUAGUGUCAUGCAAGUACCAGGCACUGCGCUCAGGCGCAAGAUUGCAUUCUGGCAGAGCCAAGGUGUGUUGAAGGAAGAUAAGGAGGAUACCUUUGUACUGGUUGAAGAGCAGCAAGGCCAUCAUGGAGGGGAAGAUGUUUUAAUGAUUGACAGUGAUGAGGAGAUUGAAUCUGCCAUGGCAUCGGCUCAAGAUCAAAAGGAAGAGGAACUCCAGAUGUUCUGGACUUACAUAGUUGGAAUGUUGACUAACCUAGAAAGUUUGCCUCUAGAAAGGAUCCACUCUAUGUUGAAGAUGUUUGCAAUGCAAGGCCCAACGUCAUCAGAAUGCAGUGAACAAGAACUGCGAGUCUUUCUUGACCGCAAAGUUCGAGAUCAGCAACUAAUCUACGCUGGCGGGAUAUAUCGGCUUCCAAAGACAAGCUCAUGAGAUGCCCAAAAUGGGAAUGAUGUCAAGUGGUGUAACACUCCCAGAUUUAUUUGGAUGGUUUGAAAAAAAAAACGUUUUCUUAUAAGGGAGCUUGCACAAAUGUUUAAUUUUAAGGUGAUCAAUUGUGUGUGCAGCCUUCUAUGGUUGAUCGCAACGAUCCCACUGUAGGUUAACCAGAUAAGGUGUGUUAACCUAAUGCGGAACUCCCGCUGAGACCUUAAAAGCUACUUACGCAAUUAAUGCAAUCACUUACGCAUAUCGGUGCAGCCGACAAUGCGAUUUUGGACACCGUCAUGAAAUUAAAAAUUACUACUGAAAACAAUUUUGCAAGCCUACUAAUGUGGGAAUUUGAUGUGAUUUGAAUUUGGUGUACCGUCUGCCUCUGAUUCUUUCAAACAUGGAUAAAUUCCUCGUUGAUAUACGACACUAGGCCUAGAUGCUUUUCUCUAGAAUUAAAGCACCCUAUUUUUUAAUAAUUAAUUUAUCUACAGCCCAAUCAUUCGACAAUUACACUCUUCCAACCCAUGUCUGGAAAAUUAGACGGAAAAAGUCAUGUCUACUACCGUGUAUUCUUUUGAUCGAUGUUGGAAUCAUUUUUUGGGGUGAUUAUUUUUGCAUAAAGAUCUGAUAACCACCAGCCACGUGGGCCUGUUGCACUUUGUCUGCUUACAAUAUAAAUAUGGACUAGUCUAGUCUAUAAAUACCUGACAUAUUUAAAGACUCUGCCCAGAGCCAUCAUGAUUUUAGUUUAGUUGUGCGAGAUGAGAUUUCUGGAUUUCAAGACCAGUAACUACGAACAGCAAACAUUAGGCCGACUAAAGGCCUAGCCUAUUUUGUGUGAGGAAUGCCUGCAAUCAAUGACACAGAAAGGGUACCUAGGGUUUUGAAGUUGUCAUAAGAAUUGAGGAUUUAGGCCCUACAUAUUAAAAAUGAAUCAUUUUUGUCUCAAAAAUGUCGCAGAGCUUUCAGAAGAUUCUACUAGAGAAUACAGAGAUUCUAGACCGUGACGGCCCAAUCGGCCCAUGUUCACUCAGUGUAAACAAUCUUAUUUAUUUUCCAAUAAAUGAAAUGAGGAUAAGCCAGACUGUCCCCGCAAAAAAUAUUAAGAUGUAGUGGUAAUGAGAAUGUGUUUCAGUACAAGUUUAAAGCUGGCCACGUAUCCCAUUUUAGAAAGCAUUUAAAGUGCUAAUCAACAUUAAAUGUUCUUGGUGAGAAAUUAGAAAAAUUAA